rnacentral:SRP_RNA from 1 species
AGUCGGGUCCCGUGCAAGUGGGUCCCGCAAACCCCGUCAGGUCCGGAAGGAAGCAGCGGUAGCGGACCGCCCCUGUGCCACGGGGAAGCCUGGCUGUC